rnacentral:rRNA from 1 species
UACGGCCAUAUCACUUUGAAACACCAGUUCUUGUACGAUUACCGAAAUUAAGCAAUGUCGAGCCUGGUCAGUACCUAGAUGGGUAAUCGCUUGGGAAUAUCAGCAGCUGCAAG